rnacentral:snoRNA from 1 species
GCCACAUGAUGAGUUUGAGUAGCGUCAGCAGCUCUCGGGGCCAUGAUGACCUGCUAUCUAUCACCCCUUACUGAUGGCU